UUUCAGUUCCUAUCUGGAACUUUCAUCAGGAUCAAACAUAUAUGUUUGAUCCUGAUGAAAGUUCCAGAUAGGAACU